rnacentral:rRNA from 1 species
UACGUAGGGUGCGAGCGUUAAUCGGAAUUACUGGGCGUAAAGCGUGCGCAGGCGGUUAUAUAAGACAGGUGUGAAAUCCCCGGGCUUAACCUGGGAAUUGCAUUUGUGACUGUAUAGCUGGAGUACGGCAGAGGGGGAUGGAAUUCCGCGUGUAGCAGUGAAAUGCGUAGAUAUGCGGAGGAACACCGAUGGCGAAGGCAAUCCCCUGGGCCUGUACUGACGCUCAUGCACGAAAGCGUGGGGAGCAAACAGG